rnacentral:rRNA from 1 species
CUGGCUCAGGAUGAACGCUGGCGGCGUGCUUAACACAUGCAAGUCGAACGGAGUUAUCAAUGAAACCUAGUGAUUUGAUAACUUAGUGGCGGACGGGUGAGUAACGCGUGGGUAACCUGCCUUAUCCGGGGGGAUAACAGUUAGAAAUGACUGCUAAUACCGCAUAAGCGCACAGAAUCGCAUGAUUCCGUGUGAAAAAGAUUUAUCGGGAUAAGAUGGACCCGCGUCUGAUUAGCUAGUUGGCGAGGUAACGGCCCACCAAGGCGACGAUCAGUAGCCGGCCUGAGAGGGUGAACGGCCACAUUGGGACUGAGACACGGCCCAAACUCCUACGGGAGGCAGCAGUGGGGAAUAUUGCACAAUGGGGGAAACCCUGAUGCAAGCGACGCCGCGUGAGUGAAGAAGUAUUUCGGUAUGUAAAGCUCUAUCAGCAGGGAAGAAAAUGACGGUACCUGACUAAGAAGCCCCGGCUAACUACGUGCCAGCAGCAGC